UUUCCGACUUUAUGUCGGAACGGACUUACAUAACACUGGAAAGUUCUAAUAUAUUUAAUAUAUGAGAACAGGUUUAUGUUUGUAAUACGCCAACGCCUUAACUUUAAUUAAAGAAAGGCGAAGAUAUAGUCUGCACUCCUAGAAAUAGGGGA
rnacentral:autocatalytically_spliced_intron from 1 species